rnacentral:rRNA from 1 species
AACGAACGCCGGCGGCAUGCCUAACACACGCAAGUCGAACGAGAUCUUCGGGUCUAGUGGCGCACGGGUGCGUAACGCGUGGGAAUCUGACCUUUGGUUCGGAAUAACAGUUGGAAACGACUGCUAAUACCGGAUGAUGAUGAAAGUCCAAAGAUUUAUCGACAGAGGAUGAGCCCGCGUAGGGUUAGCUAGUUGGUGUGGUAAAGGCGCACCAAGGCGACGAUCCUUAGCUGGUCUGAGAGGAUGAUCAGCCACACUGGGACUGAGACACGGCCCAGACUCCUACGGGAGGCAGCAGUGGGGAAUAUUGGACAAUGGGCGAAAGCCUGAUCCAGCAAUGCCGCGUGAGUGAUGAAGGCCUUAGGGUUGUAAAGCUCUUUUACCCGGGAUGAUAAUGACAGUACCGGGAGAAUAAGCUCCGGCUAACUCCGUGCCAGCCGCCGCUGUAA